AGCGGAGAGAGGUAGCUUGCUACUGAUCUUAGCGGCGGACGGGUGAGUAAUGCUUAGGAAUCUGCCUAUUAGUGGGGGACAACAUUUCGAAAGGAAUGCUAAUACCGCAUACGUCCUACGGGAGAAAGCAGGGGAUCUUCGGACCUUGCGCUAAUAGAUGAGCCUAAGUCGGAUUAGCUAGUUGGUGGGGUAAAGGCCUACCAAGGCGACGAUCUGUAGCGGGUCUGAGAGGAUGAUCCGCCACACUGGGACUGAGACACGGCCCAGACUCCUACGGGAGGCAGCAGUGGGGAAUAUUGGACAAUGGGCGCAAGCCUGAUCCAGCCAUGCCGCGUGUGUGAAGAAGGCCUUAUGGUUGUAAAGCACUUUAAGCGAGGAGGAGGCUACUUUAGUUAAUACCUAUAGAUAGUGGACGUUACUCGCAGAAUAAGCACCGGCUAACUCUGUGCCAGCAGCCGCGGUAAUACAGAGGGUGCAAGCGUUAAUCGGAUUUACUGGGCGUAAAGCGCGCGUAGGCGGCUAAUUAAGUCAAAUGUGAAAUCCCCGAGCUUAACUUGGGAAUUGCAUUCGAUACUGGUUAGCUAGAGUGUGGGAGAGGAUGGUAGAAUUCCAGGUGUAGCGGUGAAAUGCGUAGAGAUCUGGAGGAAUACCGAUGGCGAAGGCAGCCAUCUGGCCUAACACUGACGCUGAGGUGCGAAAGCAUGGGGAGCAAACAGGAUUAGAUACCCUGGUAGUCCAUGCCGUACAC
rnacentral:rRNA from 1 species